rnacentral:misc_RNA from 1 species
AAGUCGUAACAAGGUCUCCGUAGGUGAACCUGCGGAGGGAUCAUUACAGAGAACAUCGCCCUCACGGGUGACUCUCCAACCCUAUGUUAUUAAAACCUUUGUUGCUUUGGCGAGCCGCUUCGGCCACCGGCUUCUGCUGGUGUGCGCUCGCCAGAGGACCACAAACUCUGUUUAUUAGUGUCGUCUGAGUACUAUAUAAUAGUUAAAA